AAUCAACGCUGGCGGCGUGCCUAACACAUGCAAGUCGAACGCGAAAGUGGAGCAAUCCAUGAGUAGAGUGGCAAACGGGUGAGUAACACGUGGGUGACCUACCUCAGAGUGGGGGAUAACCUUCCGAAAGGAGGGCUAAUACCGCAUGACAUUCCGUGUUUGGAUACAUGGAAAUCAAAGCCGGGGAUCGCAAGACCUGGCGCUUGGAGAGGGGCCCGCGUCCGAUUAGCUAGUUGGUGAGGUAACGGCUCACCAAGGCACCGAUCGGUAUCCGGCCUGAGAGGGCGGACGGACACACUGGAACUGAGACACGGUCCAGACUCCUACUGGAGGCAGCGGUGGGGAAUAUUGGACAAUGGGCGAAAGCCUGAUCCAGCCAUGCCGCGUGUGUGAAGAAGGUCUUCGGAUUGUAAAGCACUUUAAGUUGGGAGGAAGGGCAGUAAGCGAAUACCUUGCUGUUUUGACGUUACCGACAGAAUAAGCACCGGCUAACUCUGUGCCAGCCGCCGCCGUAAAAC
rnacentral:rRNA from 1 species